rnacentral:rRNA from 1 species
AACAAACGCUGGCGGCGUGCCUAAUACAUGCAAGUCGAACGGGGAAAGCUUUCGGGUGAGUCCUAGUGGCGCACGGGUGAGUAACGCGUGGAUAAUCUGCCUAAGAGUGGGGGAUAACUAGUCGAAAGAUUAGCUAAUACCGCAUAAGACCACAAGAACUGCGGUUCAAGGGGUCAAAGGAUUUUCGCUCUAAGAUGAGUCCGCGCAGGAUUAGCUAGUUGGUAGGGUAACGGCCUACCAAGGCGCCGAUCUUUAACUGGGCUGAGAGUAUGAUCAGUCACACUGGAACUGAGAGACGGUCCAGACUCCUACGGGAGGCAGCAGUACGGAAUAUUGUACAAUGGAGGAAACUCUGAUGCAGCGACGCCGCGUGAGUGAUGAAGGCCUUCGGGUCGUAAAGCUCUGUCGCAGGGGAAUAACACAAUGAAGGUACCCUGUAAGAAAGGAUCGGCUAACUUCGUGCCAGCCGCCGCAGUAAGAC